AAAAGUGUGACUGGAUAGUCUGGGACUACAUGUAUGAGUGGUGGGUAACGAGUGACCACCAAAGUGUGAAUGGAAAGCCAUAUGAUGUGAAUGUGAUGUACUAGGCAGGGCCAAGUGUGAAUGACGGAUAAUUAAAUUUACUAAUUGGACUUGAGACCGAUUUAGCCCUAUGGAGAGGGUCUCUCUAAGGUCCUAACAAAGCAUAGGUGUGUGUGAAGUACAUCGGGUAGUAAAGUCGGCGCACUGACUACCAAGUUUGAGUGAGACAUUAAGUUGUUCUAGAAACGUGAUCCGGUUGACACGUUAGUCAUAUGGAGUGAUUGUAUUUUUUAUUUUGUACAUUUGGUAUUGAAGUAAAGGUGAUAAUCCGGGGGACACUAGACUACUUAAUACCCUAAGGGACCCACAGUGCAUAAUUGAGUUCUUACUUUAGACCUAAUUGGGGGCCGAUUUAGCCGUAAGGAAAGGGUACCACUUGGGUUUGAGUAAAGGCAUAGGUUGUUGACAGUAUUGUAGUGUACAUAAAAUGUCGUUGGAAAUAGAAAAGGUGUUGAAAACGCUGAAGCCCACAGUUCUAGAAGUGAAUGAAGGCAGAGAGAGUAAGGAGUGGAAGAGACAGGGUGAAAAGCUGUACAGAGAAUGGAUAGAAGGCGGGGCCAUUGCGUCUCCUACUGGUCUGCUUACUGUGGUGAAUGAAGAUUUGUGUGUGUAUGGUGUAAAUUGAAGCUUACUGGCGUGAAUGAAGAUUUGUGAGAAUCAAAUCGUGUGCAUGAAAUACGCUUGAUAUUCAGUCAGGGACUAAUAUCGGUAUGAAUGAGGUCGGGGACCUUCACAUGAGAUGUCUGAGUUGUAUUAAUUUGAGCCUGCCAAGCGAGUGUGGUACAUUAGGUAUUUCAGUUGGAGCUGGUACCGGUGAGAAUGUUUAAAAAGUCGCAGGCUUGCUGAUUAGAUGUUUGCACAGAGUUACAUCAUAGAAUAUUGAGGGGGUGUGCAUGACUGUUGGAAAAAGUGUUCAACUCUAUUAACGUAAAAUUCUGUGUGUAGAUUUAUAUUAUGAGGUUUGAACUAUACUAAUAUUGUAGAAUUACAUAAUCAACAUCUGAACAUACUUAUGUUAAACAUUAAUUGAGCCACUGAGUAAUAGAUAAGAUAUACACUAGGUACGGGAGACGGGGCGACGGGUGCGGUCGACGUAAGACGGGAGUGGUGUUCUAACCAAGUGCUGAGAAAUAAGGUAGAUUUAUUUUGUUCUUUUAAUUCAUUUACACGAGUACUUCCCGGUUAUUGAUUUUGGUUUGAUUGUUCAGAUAACACCACUGAAGUUAAACAGGAGGUUAAGGUAUACUAACAUUAGAAUCUGUUUUCAUUAUGGGGAACAAUGAAAGGCCUGCAGAGUGGAUUACAGGCUGAGGUUUUUAUGUUAAAGGGACAGUGUAUGUUUAUCACAGUUGUCUGUGUGUCUAAUGGCUGGGUAUUUAAGAAGUAUUUUGGGGAGACAAUUUGGAGAAACACGAAUGUAAGACAUGAAACAUCGAGACAAAUUAUUUGAGUUUGAGGGGAUUAUCACAAUUAUUAGGUUUUGUUUUUGUAGUAAACGUUUUGAGUUUAAGGGGAUUUCCAUGUUCCCAGAGACAAUAUACAGUGCCUUGCGAAAGUAUUCGGCCCCCUUGAACUUUGCGACCUUUUGACACAUUUCAGGCUUCAAACAUAAAGAUAUAAAAUUGUAUUAUUUUGUGAAGAAUCAACAACAAGUGGGACACAAUCAUGAAGUGGAACGACAUUUAUUGGAUAUUUCAAACUUUUUUAACAAAUCAAAAACUGAAAAAUUGGGCGUUUUCUGAGCAGUGAUGUUUUGGUGCUGUUGCUGAGCAACACUGACUUUCAACUCCCUCCAAAGAUUUUCUAUGGGGUUGAGAUCUGGAGACUGGCUAGGCCACUCCAGGACCUUGAAAUGCUUCUUACGAAGCCACUCCUUCGUUGCCCGGGCGGUGUGUUUGGGAUCAUUGUCAUGCUGAAAGACCCAGCCACGUUUCAUCUUCAAUGCCCUUGCUGAAGGAGGUUUUCACUCAAAAUCUCACGAAACAUUCUUUCCUUUACACGGAUCAGUCGUCCUGGUCCCUUUGCAGAAAAACAGCCCCAAAGCAUGAUGUUUCCACCCCCAUGCUUAACAGUAGGUAUGGUGUUCUUUGGAUGCAACUCAGCAUUCUUUGUCCUCCAAACACGACAAGUUGAGUUACCAAAAAGUUAUAUUUUGGUUUCAUCUGACCAUAUGACAUUCUCCCAAUCUUCUUCUGGAUCAUCCAAAUGCUCUCUAGCAAACUUCAGACGGGCCUGGACAUGUACUAGCUUAAGCAGGGGGACACGUCUGGCACUGCAGGAUUUGAGUCCCUGGCUGCGUAGUGUGUUACUGAUGGUAGGCUUUGUUACUUUGGUCCCAGCUCUCUGCAGGUUAUUCACUAGGUCCCCCCCGUGUGGUUCUGGGAUUUUUGCUCACCGUUCUUGUGAUCAUUUUGACCCCACGGGUUGAGAUCUUGCGUGGAGCCCCAGAUCGAGGGAGAUUAUCAGUGGUCUUGUAUGUCUUCCAUUUCCUAAUAAUUGCUCCCACAGUUGAUUUCUUCAAACCAAGCUGCUUACCUAUUGCAGAUUCAGUCUUCCCAGCCUGGUGCAGGUCUACAAUUUUGUUUCUGGUGUCCUUUGACAGCUCUUUGGUCUUGGCCAUAGUGGAGUUUGGAGUGUGACUGUUUGAGGUUGUGGACAGGUGUCUUUUAUACUGAUAACAAGUUCAAACAGGUGCCAUUAAUACAGGUAACGAGUGGAGGACAUAGGAGCCUCUUAAAGGAGAAGUUACAGGUCUGUGAGAGCCAGAAAUCUUGCUUGUUUGUAGGUGACCAAAUACUUAUUUUACACCAUAAUUUGCAAAUAAAUUCAUUAAAAAUCCUACAAUGUGAUUUUCUGGAUUUUUUUUCUCAUUUUGUCUGUCAUAGUUGAAGUGUACCUAUGAUGAAAAUUCUGUUGACUAAUAAUUCCCCUUCAGCCUUGUGUCAGGUGAACUGUUGACUAAUAAUUCCCCUUCAGCCUUGUGUCAGGUGAACUGUUGACUAAUAAUUCCCCUUCAGCCUUGUGUCAGGUGAACUGUUGACUAAUAAUUCCCCUUCAGCCUUGUGUCAGGUGAACUGUUGACUAAUAAUUCCCCUUCAGCCUUGUGUCAGGUGAACUGUUGACUAAUAAUUCCCCUUCAGCCUUGUGUCAGGUGAACUGUUGACUAAUAAUUCCCCUUCAGCCUUGUGUCAGGUGAACUGUUGACUAAUAAUUCCCCUUCAGCCUUGUGUCAGGUGAACUGUUGACUAAUAAUUCCCCUUCAGCCUUGUGUCAGGUGAACUGUUGACUAAUAAUUCCCCUUCAGCCUUGUGUCAGGUGAACUGUUGACUAAUAAUUCCCCUUCAGCCUUGUGUCAGGUGAACUGUUGACUAAUAAUUCCCCUUCAGCCUUGUGUCAGGUGAACUGUUGACUAAUAAUUCCCCUUCAGCCUUGUGUCAGGUGAACUGUUGACUAAUAAUUCCCCUUCAGACUUGUGUCAGUUGAACUGUUGACUAAUAAUUCCCCUUCAGACUUGUGUCAGUUGAACUGUUGACUAAUAAUUCCCCUUCAGCCUUGUGUCAGGUGAACUGUUGACUAAUAAUUCCCCUUCAGCCUUGUGUCAGGUGAACUGUUGACUAAUAAUUCCCCUUCAGCCUUGUGUCAGGUGAACUGUUGACUAAUAAUUCCCCUUACUCUUGAAACUGUUCCAUUUCAAUUGCUGCUAUACCAUGGUAAUCUAAUUCAUAUUUCUUGUGUAAGAAACAUUUCAAUGUAGUCCUAUCGAUAAAGGCCAAUUCUCACAAGUGUAAAGGAUUAAUUGAGUUUUUAGAUCGUUGCACAGUAGAUUAGAGUGACAAGAAGUAACACAUGCAACCUCUCUGACAAACAGUCUGUGUAGUUCUGACCACAAGACUCAGACACGAGCAGUCUGAGUAACUGAAAGUAGCAGGAACAGAGAGACACAGGAACAGAGACACACUCACUCUUGAGAUUAGGAGAAUCUUAACUUGAUUAACUGGAAUCUAACCAAUUCACAAUACAGAGUAAAAUAAAUAGUUUAAAAACCUCCCUCCCUCUCCAACAUGCCAUGGACAGCACAAUAAUUGUGUCCCUCUCUAUCCACUAACCUGGGAGGUGGGCUGUGGGUCCGUGGAUGUGAAGUCCCUGUCUUGUCUGCUCCUGUUGAUUUGGACCCUGCUUGAAGUGUCCACAGAAGGCAGAGGUGAAAAGGGUUGUGAUGCUCUGUGUUGAUGAUUGAAAGAUAACUUUAAUGGGAUGUACGUACUCAGUGUGCACAGCAGCACUAUGCUCUCUCUCUCUCUCUCUCUCUAUCUCUCUCUCUAAUGUUGUGUUUUUCAGUUUAGCAAGAUGCACAAAUCAAAUGUGAUACAAUAAAAAAAACUGCAGAAAAACUAUUACUAAGCAGGAGGGGAUUGUUGGGACAUCAUAGUGCAAGUUAGUGUAGAAAAACUAUUACUAAGCAGGAGGGGAUUGUUGGGACCACCAUAGUGCAAGUUAGUGUAGAAAAACUAUUACUAAGCAGG